rnacentral:rRNA from 1 species
GAUGAACGCUGGCGGCGUGCCUAAUACAUGCAAGUCGAGCGAACGGACGAGAAGCUUGCUUCUCUGAUGUUAGCGGCGGACGGGUGAGUAACACGUGGAUAACCUACCUAUAAGACUGGGAUAACUUCGGGAAACCGGAGCUAAUACCGGAUAAUAUUUUGAACCGCAUGGCUCAACUGUGAAAGACGUUCUUGCUGUCACUUAUAGAUGGAUCCGCGCUGCAUUAGCUAGUUGGUAAGGUAACGGCUUACCAAGGCAACGAUGAAGAGCCGACCUGAGAGGGUGAACGGCCACACUGGAAAGGAGACACGGUCAAGACUCCUACGGGAGGCAGCAGUAGGGAAUCCUCCGCAAAGGACGAAAGACUGACGGAGCAACGGCGCGUGAGUGAUGAAGGACUUCGGAGCGUAAGAAUCUGUUAUUAGGGAAGAACAUAUGUGUAAGUAACUGUGCACAUCUUGACGGUACCUAAUCAGAAAGCCACGGCUAACUACGUG